GUACACAUAGUUUAAUAAAAACAUUAGAUUGUGAAUCUAACAAUAGAAGUUUAAACCUUCUUGUGUACC
rnacentral:tRNA from 1 species